rnacentral:rRNA from 1 species
UACGAAGGGGGCGAGCGUUGUUCGGAUUUACUGGGCGUAAAGGGCGCGUAGGCGGCCUUGUCAGUCAGGCGUGAAAGCCCCGGGCUCAACCUGGGAACGGCGCUUGGGACGGCGAGGCUGGAGUUCGGGAGAGGAGAGUAGAAUUCCCAGUGUAGAGGUGAAAUUCGUAGAUAUUGGGAAGAACACCGGUGGCGAAGGCGGCUCUCUGGACCGACACUGACGCUGAGGCGCGAAAGCGUGGGGAGCAAACAGG